rnacentral:tRNA from 1 species
GGCCCUGUAGUUUAGCGGAUAGAAUGAAGCCCUGCGGAGGCUUUGACCCGAGUUCGAAUCUCGGCAGGGUCA